rnacentral:rRNA from 1 species
CCUACGGGAGGCAGCAGUGGGGAAUUUUGGACAAUGGGCGCAAGCCUGAUCCAGCAAUGCCGCGUGAGUGAAGAAGGCCUUCGGGUUGUAAAGCUCUUUUGUCAGGGAAGAAACGGUAGUUCCUAAUACGGACUACUAAUGACGGUACCUGAAGAAUAAGCACCGGCUAACUACGUGCCAGCAGCCGCGGUAAUACGUAGGGUGCAAGCGUUAAUCGGAAUUACUGGGCGUAAAGCGUGCGCAGGCGGUUAUAUAAGUCAGAUGUGAAAUCCCCGGGCUCAACCUGGGAACUGCAUUUGAGACUGUAUGGCUAGAGUGUGUCAGAGGGGGGUAGAAUUCCACGUGUAGCAGUGAAAUGCGUAGAUAUGUGGAGGAAUACCGAUGGCGAAGGCAGCCCCCUGGGAUAACACUGACGCUCAUGCACGAAAGCGUGGGGAGCAAACAGGAUUAGAUACCCUGGUAGUCCACGCCCUAAACGAUGUCUACUAGUUGUCGGGACUUAAUUGUCUUGGUAACGCAGCUAACGCGUGAAGUAGACCGCCUGGGGAGUACGGUCGCAAGAUUAAAACUCAAAGGAAUUGACGG